GUACAUGCUUCUACAUUACAUAUACUAAAAUAGGAAGACUACAGAGAGAUUAGCAUGGUUCUUUUGCAAGGAUGACAGGCAAAUUCGUGAAGCGCUCCAUAUUUAC
rfam:Octopus bimaculoides Scaffold1549_contig_303, whole genome shotgun sequence.